rnacentral:tRNA from 1 species
GGGGAUAUAGCUCAGCUGGUAGAGCGCUUGCAUGGCAUGCAAGAGGUCAGCGGUUCGAACCCGCUUAUCUCCA